CAAUAGCGUAUAUUAAAGUUGUUGCAGUUAAAAAGCUCGUAGUUGAAUUUCUGGUGGGCGCGCCGGUCUUCCAAGUGUUGUACUGGGCGCAGUCCGCCAUCCUUGUGGAGAGGGCUCGCAUUGAGUUGCGUGUCGGAUCUGCAUCAUUUACUGUGAAAAAAUUAGAGUGUUUAAAGCAGGCUGUCGCUUGAAUACAUUAGCAUGGAAUAAUAAGAUAGGACUUCGGUCUAUUUUGUUGGUUGCGAACCGAGGUAAUGAUUAAUAGGGAUAGUUGGGGGUAUUCAUAUUUAAUUGUCAGAGGUGAAAUUCUUGGAUUUACGCAAGACAAACAGCUGCGAAAGCGUCUGCCAAGGAUGUUUUCAUUAA
rnacentral:rRNA from 1 species